UGUGGGGCAAGCGUUGUUCGGAAUUACUGGGCAUAAAGGGUGCGUAGGUGGCCUGAUAAGUCAGUGGUGAAAGCCGGCGGCCCAACCGUCGAAUUGCCAUUGAUACUGCUGGGCUUGAGUGCGUGAGGGGUUGGGGGAACGAGCGGUGUAGCGGUGAAAUGCGUAGAUAUCGCUCGGAAGGCCGGAGCCGAAGGGGCCCAACUGGUGCGCAACUGACACUGAGGCACGAAAGCGUGGGGAGCAAACAGGAUUAGAUACCCUGGUAGUCCACGCCGUAAACGAUGAGCACUAGGUGGGUGCCGAGGUAUCGGUGCCCGCCGGAGGCAAUUUGUUAAGUGCUCCGCCUGGGGAGUAUGGUCGCAAGGCUG
rnacentral:rRNA from 1 species